rnacentral:rRNA from 1 species
GGGGGGGGGGCAAGCGUUGUUCGGAAUUACUGGGCGUAAAGGGCGCGCAGGCGGCCUGGCAAGUCCUACGUGAAAUCCCACAGCUCAACUGUGGAACUGCGUGGGAUACUGCCCAGGCUUGAGUCCGGGAGAGGAGAGUGGAAUUCCCAGUGUAGCGGUGAAAUGCGUAGAUAUUGGGAGGAACACCGGUGGCGAAGGCGGCUCUCUGGACCGGUACUGACGCUGAGGCGCGAAAGCUAGGGGAGCAAACGGGAUUAGAUACCCCGGUAGUCCUAGCCGUAAACUUUGAGCACUUGGUGUGGCGGGUAUCGACCCCUGCCGUGCCGAAGCUAACGCAUUAAGUGCUCCGCCUGGGGAGUACGGUCGCAAGGCUG